AACUCGCCUCAGCGUGGCCGCCAUGAUGGUGGAGGCUGUAGUGGGCUGAGGGGGAGGCAGGGAGGAGGGUUGUGAGGGGGCGAGUGGCACAAGCCCCGGCUCUGCGGCACCCCGAGGGUCGCAGGGACUUGUCUUGCCGGCCUAAGUGUCCCUGGGGGUCCCGGUCCCCCCCACCAGGGCCGCCCCUGCCCCGAGCGCGCGAGCGGGCCUAGGCGUUGCGAUGGCGCCGGGGCCUCGUCGCGCAAUGCAGCUGCGGUUGGAGCCUCCCAGCUCCUACGGGCUGACUGAAAAGGGCCUCAGGUUGAGCCAGGGCCCUGCAGGCCAGAAAUACAGGGGCCAGCGGGGCAGUUUGGGGGGCCGCAGGCAUGACCCUCCGCCCCGCGGGGGCUUUGGCCGCGUUUUGGGGGCCCGCCAGUGGUGGGAAGCACCCCAGAGAGGACAAGACAGCAAAAAAUGCUCUUUUCCCAGGAAUAUCCCUGUAUCCAGCAGCUUUUCCCCUUGUGCCGGCUUUGUGGCACGGCUGGGCAGCCGGAGCGACGUGGUGUGGGCAGCGCCCAAGCUCCAAGAGAAGCCUUCACCCUCUCCCUUGCUUGGAAACCUCCCUGGGACGAAACCAGCCAGCUUUGGGGAGAAAAUGGGCUUUUUAAAAAAUUUUUUCCCUCUGGGAGCCACCUAUCAGCCUGUUUACCGCUAGAUGGCAAUCUGUGACCGAGCUGGCUGGCUCGGGUGCCCCGGCUGAGGAGAGCCAGCGGCAUUUCGGGACAGAGCGGCCACAUCCCAGCGAUUAAAUCCAUGCCUGUAUCCCGGUAUCCCGCAGGAGGACGGGGCGAGCACGCUCCCAGCCUCCCGCUGUUGGUGGCUCCGGCCUCCCCGCUGCACUGGGGGUCUUUUAUAGCCCUUUGACUGUUUUAACUUUUCCUCUUGCAGUGUCCUGUGGCACCGUGCGCGUAGACAACCCCGCUCCACAGCAGCUUCUGUCUCUUUGGAGGUGGAGGGGUGAUCGAUGAGAUACAAAACAGCAAAAAAACCUUAGGGAAGAGCCGCUCGCGCCUCCUGCUUGAGUUUGCACGUGUGCCGGGAGGUGACAGGAGGGACGCGAGUCACCCGGGGAGGGGACGACGGCAGCUGCAGGAACAAAGGAUGGGGACAUGGCCGAGGAAGAGGGCUGGCGGUCCCCGCGUCCCCGGGACGAGGCGGCCCGGGGUGGCGGAUUUGGGGUGGCCCCGGCGGCCCGCGCUGGGUGCGGGGAAGGAGCGCUCACCUUCUCGGCGUGCACCUCGAUCUGGUUGUUGGAGGUGGUGACGAUGAUGUCCUCGGGGGCGAAGUCGCUGACAUCCACCGUGAACUGGUAGGUGUUGCCCAAGGUCUUAAUGUUGCCCGCGGCGCCGGGCCGAGCUGCGGGAGAGGAGAGGUGCUCGGGGGACUCCUGGGUCCCUCCGCGCCAUGGCCUUUCCGCCCCCUCCGCUCCCCUCGCCGCCGCCGCGCGGGCGGAGGCGAUUUGGGAAGCGUCCCCCUUUCCCGAGGCUUUUCCCUCGGCCCGGCCCUCCGUCCCGCCGCCGAGCCCGACUUGCCUGGGAAAACCAGCGGCUCCACGCGCGGCCGCACGAAGGUGCCGAAAAGCUCCAUGGGGCGGGCGGGCGACGGCGACGAGCUCCGGUGGAAGCUGUGCUCCGAGCGGAAAGCCGAGGAGGACUUCAAGUUCAUCCACCGCCGCGAGCGCUUGCGGGGAAAACGGGGAGCGAAACAGCCGGGGAAAAGGAGGAAAAGCGGCGAGCGCAACCCCGCAGGUGCCGCCCCGUAAAAGCCUCGCAACGCCCGGGGAGGAAUCCGGCUCCGAGAUGCGAACGGGCAAGACUCGCGGACGGAGCCGGCGAGUUCAGAGGCGGCUCUUGAGCUUAUAAAGCCCUGUUAGGCGCUCGGCCGCCUUCCAGACCUCUUGUAAAACAGGCUAAAUUUAGGUCCUGCUACAUCACUCCGGAGAGCGUGGAAAUUUUCCUCUCCCCCCCCCUCCCCGCUCCUCCUCCCAAUCCCGGCCACAAACAAGCGGCGGAGGGAAGAAUCCGAUCCCAUUGCUGGCGUUCCUGCCCGCCUGGAUAAUGCGGCUCCUGGCGGCACCGGGACCCGAUUUCCCAAAAAAAGGAAGAGGGGGAAGAGAGCGCAAGGUGCGGGCAAAGGAAACGGCCGCGGGAUGCGAUUCUCCCUGCUUCUCGCUCCGGUCCCGGCUCUGGUUUCGGGGCGAUGGGAGGAGAUUUGGGGGCUGCCCCAGAGGGAAGAUUUUCUGAGCAAAAAGGCCGGAAGCUGCACCCCGGUAGCGGCAUUUCGGGACGUGCUAAAACCGGUGCUAAAACCCUGGAAAAAUCGGGUUUUGCACGCUGCGAACAGCCAGCAUCGGGGACGGCUCGGCGAACGCGUUUCCCGGGCCCGUCUCUGGCACCGGGCCGAACCUCAGCUCGCAAAAUGGGUGCUGUGUCCCCCCCCCGUCACCCAUGGGAGGGGUCCUGAGGCGCUUCCCACCCAGGCGAUGCCCCGGGAGGCUGUGGGGAGCCCGUGGGUGCCGCCGGGCUGCGGUGGCUCCUGGCGAAACGACCGUCAAGGUCGUGUGAGGUUUACAACAACAAUAAUAAUAAUAAAAAAACCCAGGCGUUGA